rnacentral:rRNA from 1 species
AAUAGCUGAUUGCACCAACAAAUAGUUGAUGCAAUAUUGACUCUGUCAAAUAAAAUUCUAGGUAGAAUUAUGAUAAUGACAUUGUCUGCCUAUAUGUCUUGACCAAAUUACGUGCCAGCAGUCGCGGUAAUACGUAGAAGACUAGUGUUAUUCAUCUUUAAUAGGUUUAAAGGGUACCUAGACGGUAAAUCAAGCCUUCACAGGGACUAAUUUACUAGAGUUACUUACGAGGGGGUAUUAAAGUACUGCAGGUGUAGAGAUGAAAUUCUGUCAUACCUCUUUUCAAAAGAAAAACUAUGGCACAGGUAUAGGUGAAAGCAUCCCCUUAUGUGAUAACUGACGUUGAAGGACGAAGGCUUUGUGUCGCGAACAGGAUUAGAUACCCCAGUAGUCAAAGCAGAAAAUGAUGAAUGUCAUAGAUUAGAUAAAUAGUUUAUUCUAUAAAUGAAAAUGUAAGCAUUCCACCUCAAGAGUAAUUUGGCAACAUUGGAACUGAAAUCAUUAGACCGUUUCUGAAACCAGUAGUGAAGUAUGUUGUUUAAUUUGAUGAUCCGCAAAAAACCUUACCACAAUUUGAAUAUUUAUAUCUAUCUUUUCUUUUCGUAAAAAAAUAAAAAGGUAAUAUAUUUACAAGCGUUGCACGGCUGUCUUCAGUUAAUGUCGCGAGACUUUGGUUAGUUCCAUUAAAUUAACGUAAACCCUUACUUUAUUUUUAUAUGAAGUAGUUCCCCGCUAUAUUGGAUAUGAUAACAGGGACUAAG